AGGGCAGAUCUUCCGGGCGACUCGCCCUGUAAGAAAUUAGAAAAUGCUACAAUAAAAUCCGAAAAACUGGAAAAAAUGUGGCAACUUUAUUAAUGAAAGCGCUCGCGCUAUCCACCGUAAACAUACACGUCCCUUUAGUUGGAAGUCACCGAAAGACAGCGAAGUACCUCAGAUCAUUCAUGGAAAGCCAUCUUCUAUAUUAAAAAUGCCACUGCUAGUACAACACAAGAAAUCAGAUUCACCCGAAUUCACCGGCAUAGACUGUUCAACAGGAAAAGAUGAAGUGAGCCCCCGUACGGAGUGACUCCCCAGGAAGAGAAAACGAGGUAGGACAAAUCCCCAACAUGACUGAUUACUGUCCCCACCAUCUCCCCUGUUCAUAUC